rnacentral:lncRNA from 1 species
UGGGAUGGGCCGGCCGGUACGCCUUUGGUGUGCACCAGUCAUCUCGUCCCUUCUGCCGGUGAUGCGCUCCUGGCCUUAAUUGGCCGGGUCGUGCCUCCGGCGCUGUUACUUUGCAGAAAUUAGAGUGCUCAAAGCAAGCCUACGCUCUGUAUACAUUAGCAUGGGAUAACAUUAUAGGAUUUCGGUCCUAUUACGUUGGCCUUCGGGAUCAGCAAUUAGAGUACUCAAAGCAAGCCUACACUCUGUAUACAUUAGCAUUGGAUAACAUUAUAGGAUUUCAGUCCUAUUACGUUGGCCUUCGGGAUCGGAGUAAUAAUUAACAGGGACAGUCGGGGGCAUUCGUAUUUCAUAGUUAGAGGUGAAAUUCUUGGAUAUAUGAAAGACGAACAACUGCGUAAGCAUUUUCCAAGGAUGUUUUCAUUAAUCAAAAACGAAAGUUGGGGGCUCGAAGUCGAUCAGAUACCGUCCUAAUCUCAACCAUAAACGAUGCCGACCAGGGAUAGGCGGAUGUUGCUUUUAGUACUCUGUCGGGACCUUAUGAGAAAUCAAAGUUUUUGGGUUUUGGGGGAAGUAUGGUCGCAAGGCUGAAACUUAAAGGAAUUGACAGAAGGGCACCACUAGGAGUGGAACCUGCGGCUUAAUUUGACUCAACACGGGGAAACUUACCAGGUCCAUACAUAGUAAGGAUUGACAGACUGAGAGCUCUUUCCUAAUUCUAUGGGUGGUGGUGCAUGGUCGUUCUUAGUUGGUGGAGCGAUUUGCCUGGUUAAUUCCGCUAUCGAACGAGACCUUAGCCUACUAACUAGCUAUGCGGAGGUAUCCCUUCGCGGCCAGCUUCUUAGAGGGACCACGGCCUUUUAGGCCGCGGAAGUUUGAGGCAAUAACAAAUCUGUGAUGCCCUUAGAGAAAUGAGGUUAAAAUAUCAUUUACAAUGUUUAAAAGUCAUUUGUGAAUAUAUUUGCCAAGUUGUACUUUGGUUUGUGCUACUUGGUGUUGUACAUGUCUAUUAUGAUUCUCUGGCCAAAACACGUCUCUCCUUAAACUUGGGGCUUUUUAUUAAGUAUAUAUAAGGGGGUAGAGGUGUUGAGAGGCACCUGAGGUGCUUGCUGCCAGGAAGGGGCGGGCAUGCAUGGGGGAUGCUGGCAUGAGGCGUAGGCAUUGGGGGCAUGCACGGCUUGUGCGUACUACGUCCUCGAUGUCCCCAAACCAUGCCGGCAAGUACUCGUGUGGGCUCGUAGUACGCCUGGUGUUUGCACCGCUCGUGGCAAACGUUGGCUUUUGGCAAUGAAAAGUGGAGCGUCAUGCAAGUAGCGCCGCAAGGUGCCGUGCGCAUGGGGCGAAGCUUAGUACUUGUUGAUCGCCAUUGGAUGUUGUGGGCAAAAUCAGGAGGCGACAUCGCUCGUGGCGGAUGAUGGAUUUUGACAACAGAACAGCAAAACAUCAUGCAAGUAGCCGCAAGGUGCAGUGCGCAUGGGGCGAAGCUUAGUAAGUUGUUGUUGAUUGCCAUCGGUUGUUGUGGUUUGUGUCUAGAAUCUCUCGUGCCGGCUGAUGGCUUUCGACAACGAACGGCAGAGCGUCGUGCAAGAAGCACCGCAAGGUGCUCUGUGCAUGGGGCGAAGCUUAGUAGAUCUCUAUUGCCAUCGGUUGUUGCGGGCAAAAUCGCUCAUGGCGUUGAUGGCUUUCGGCAAUGGAACGGCGGAGCGUCGUGCAAGUAGCUCCGCAAGGUGUCGUGCGCAUGGAGCGAAGCUUAGAAAGUUUCCUAUUGCCAUCGAUUGUUCUGGGUUGUGUUUGUAAACCCCCCUUCGUGGCGGCUUAUGGCUUUUGACAAUGAAUGGUGGAGCAUCGUGCAAGUUACGCCGCAAGGUGCCGUGCGCACGAGGCGAAGCUUAAUAGAUGUUCAUUCUUAUCGGUUGUUGCGGGAAACAUCUGGAGGCGACAUCGCUCGUGGCAGCUGAUGGCUUUUGGCAACAAAAUGGCAAAGCAUCGUGCAAGUAGCGCCGCAAGGUGCCGUGCGCAUGGGGCGAAGCUUAGUAAGUUGCCAAUUGCCAUCGGUUGUUGGAGGAAACAUCGGGAGUCGACAUCGCUAGUGGCGGCUGAUGGCUUUUGGCGACAAAAUGGUAAAGCAUCAUGCAAGUAGCGCCGCAAGGUGCCGUGCGCACGGGGAAAAGCUUAGUAAGUUGCCGAUUGCCAUCGGUUGUUGUAGGCAACAUCGGGAGGCGACAUCGCUCAUGGCGGCUGAUGGCUUUUGGCAACGAAAUGGCAAAGAAUCAUGCAAGUAGCACCGCAAGGUGCCGUGCGCACGGGGUGAAGCUUAGUAAGUUGCCGAUUGCCAUCGAUUGUUGUGGGUUGUGGCUGGCAUUGAUCAAACCCCCAAAUUCGUGCUUUGCGGGGCUUGUCUUGGCUUUGAAAUGUUGGCAUCGGCAACAACAUAUGUCUGCGCAUCACGUGUUGGGGCUGGUGUUGGCUUUGUAUCAUCGAGGUAAGUGUACGUGCGGCACAUGAGUGGUGUUCGGCUUGUGUGGCUAGGUUUGAUCCCUACUCGAGCAGCGACAUCCUAGCUCACAUGCCAUCUCAGUCAUGUCACAAGCGCAAAUUAGUCUUGUUCAAUGUCGGUUUUCUGUGUUGCAUAUCCUGUGUUGCUAGGUUGGAUCCCUACUCAAGCAGCGACGUCCUAGCUCGCAUGCUAUCUCAGUCAUGUCACAAGUGCAAAUUAGGCUUGUUCUACGUCGGUUUUCUGUGUUGCAUACCUUACCUAAUGCCAAGGCACUAUAAAGCACAAUCGGUCGCCUUUCGCCCCUUGCGUUCGACGUGCGGGGUGAACCAAAAGCUGCAGUUGUGUUCCAGGUCGUCCUAGCUUCGCCUUGCGAUGGCUUGGUCCAUGAAUUAGCAUGCCCGGGCUCUCGGAUUCAGUAAACGCAAUUGGCACGGGGCCUUCAUCGGCUUCUAUCUGCCCAAAGAAUGCUCCUUACGAAUGACGGUCGUGCUCGCCUUGGACUUGGCCGUGCCCUUUUGGGUCGGCUACGCUCAUGCGACCCAGGACGUCCUCGCUUCGCCUUGCGAUGGCUUGGUCCACGACUUAGUAUGCUUGGCCUCUCAGAUUCGGUAAAUGCAAUGGGCACGGUGCCUUCAUUGGCUUCUAUCUGCCCAAAGAAUGCUCCUUACGAAUGAUGGUCGUGCUCGCCUUGGACUUGGCCGUGCCCUUUUUGGACGGCCACGCUCAUGCGACGCCGGCGUCAAUGAGGAAUGCUACCUGGUUGAUCUUGCCAGUAGUCAUAUGCUUGUCUCAAAGAUUAAUCCACGGGUGUGUGUCUAAGUUGGUGAUGAGCUUAGGCAAUGCAGCUAGACAAGGUAGCUGGAUUGUUGGCAAGGCGGCCUUGGUUCGUAGGCAUCAGCUUUGGCAAAUGGAAGCAUGGCACUUGACAAAGGCAUGCGCGGAUCUGUGGGACGACUUAAUUUAUAGCAAGGCGUGGCUAUGAAAUUGAGGGAGAGGCAAGGUCCAAGGCAAUGCAGGGAAAAGGUAUGCGCGGAUCAGUGGGAUGACUUGAUUCAUAGCAGGGCGUUGCUAUGAAAUUAAGGGCGAGGCAAGGUCCAAGGCAAAGCGGGGAAAAGGCAUGCGCGGAUCGGUGUUGUGAAAUUGAGGGCUAGGAAACAUCCAAGGCAAAGCCGGGCAAAGGUAUGCGCGGAUCAGUGGGACGACUUGAUUCAUAGUAGGGCGUGGCAAUAAAAUUAAGGGCGAGGCAAGGUUCAAGGCUAAGCGGGGCAAAGGCAUGCACGGAUCAGUGGGACGACUUAAUUCAUAGCAGGGCGUGGCAAUGGAAUUAAGGGCAAGGCAAGGUCCAAGGCAAAGCGGGGCUGGAGACAAAGAAAACGUGGCAAGGCUAGAGGCCAUCGUGCAUGGCAUGUGACUAAGUGGUGUCAAGGACAUGUGCUGGAAGUUGAAGACAUGAUCUAAGAUCAUGGGCUGUUGGAUACAAAGUGGAAGACAUGGUAGCAACAUGCCCAGAACCACCUAAGUCAUGUGCAUGGCACACGGUAGAAACUGCCCCAUUGUAACUGUCGCUUUGUAACUGCCAUUGGCACCCCCUUUAUAUAGAUUGUAUCUCCGCCUGUGGAGAAGGCAAGUAGCAAUACAUAUGUUAUGUUGGCUACAAAGUGGUAGACAUGGUAGCAACUGGCCGGAACCACCUAAGGCAUGUGCAUGGCACAUGGUAGAAACAACCCCUUUGUAAUUGUCCCUUCGUAACUGCCAAUUGCAGCCCCUUUAUAUAGAUUCUAUCUCCACCUGUGGAGAAGGCAAGCAGCAUUACAUAUGUGAGCCAAGUCUAAAAAGAGUGUCCUUUGUAUAUUCUGCGAGAAUUAAUAUUGGGAAGGGUAGUAGCAUAACACAUGUGAGCCAAGUCUAAAACGUGAGUCCUUUGUAUAUUCUGCGAGAAUUAAUAAAUGUUGGAUUUUUACCCGUAAAUUUUGUGUGUGUUCUUAGUUUGGCUAAAGUCUGAAAAUCCUAAGUCAGACUGUGUGUGUGUGCGAAAAGUGAAGGCUGAAGUGGCUGUGAGCUGUUGCCAUGCAGUGUCUAUUUUUGCGAAAAAUUAACCCUGUAACAAUUGGUAUCAGAGCUUUUUGGUUGUAACUCUUGAUCAUGGAGGGUGGGUCUACUUCGGACUUUUGUGAUAGAGUGUAACGGUUGGAGGCGCUAAUCGGCGUGACCGAUGAUCCUUUGGAUAUGGCAGAUCUUAUAAUAGAGAUUUACCGUCUAAAGGAUGGGGCAGAUCAGUUUCGCGAUGGGAUCCAACAAAGUUGUGAAUUAACGGAUGGCGUAGUUGAAGACCUGAAGAAGGAGGUCGACAACUUGAAGGCCGAAAUCAACGUUCUUCGACGGGCUUUGGCUUCUCCAAGCCAAGGCAAUGAAGAACGCUCUAAGGUAAAGAUUCUUGAUCCUAAGGCGUUUUCUGGAACGCGUUGUGCAAAAGAAUUGGAUAAUUUUCUGUGGGACAUGGAACAAUAUUUAGUUGGUGCCAAAGUUCCAAAUGAAGAGAAGGUCAUAAUUACAAGCAUGUACCUAAGGGGAGAUGCUAAUUUCUUGUGGAGAACUCGUAUGGUAGACGAUGAAAGUGCGGUCUGACCGAAAAUUGAUACAUGGGAGAAGCUCAGAAAAGAAAUGAAGGACCAAUUCUUGCCUAGCAAUGCAUCUUGGCUUGCUAGAGACCAUUUGAAUCGCUUGCGACAAACGGGAUCUAUUCGGGAAUAUAUUAAGGAAUUCCCUUCCUUAAUGUUGGAUGUUCAAAACAUGUCGGAGGACGAUAAAUUGCAUAACUUUAUUUCUGGAGUGCAAGCACGGGCGCAGAAUAAACUUAGGAGACAGACUGUGAAGGUGGAGGACGAAAAAUUGCAUAACUGUAUUUCUGGAAUGCAAGCAUGGGCGCAGAAUGAACUUAGGAGACAAACUGUGAAAGAUCUCCCAAGUGCAAUGGCUGCAACGGAUUCAUUGGUGGACUAUCGCAGCACCCGUACUCUUUCGGAUAUUCCUCCUACUUCAAAACCUAAAAAAUGGUGGAGAAGAAAGGGGAAUGGAGGAAAGAAGUUCGAGAAGAAGUCAUUGAGAAGGGCAAGGUUGUCGAUGGGGCUGUUCAAAACAAAGGCGUCGCAAACAGGAAAACUGAUGGUUGCUGGACGUGAGGAGGACCUCAUCUUGCCGGAGCUGUCCAAAUCGGGAGCAGGUAAAUGCUUUGAAAUUGUUGAAUUUUAUCUCGUUGCUAAAUGCUACAAGUAACGAGACGAAAAGAAGAAAGGGGAAUGGAGGCAAAAAGUUUGAGAAGAAGUCGAGAAGAAGUCGUUGAGAAGGGUAAGCUUGUCGAUGGGGCUGUUCAAAACAAAGGCAUCGCAAAAAGGAAAACUGAUGGUUGCUGGACGUGCAGAGGACCUCAUCUUGCCAGUGACUGUCCUAAUCGGGAGCGGGUAAAUGCUUUGCUUGCUACAGAAAGUAAUCGGGAUGGAGAAGGCGAAGAAGUUGUUGCUGCCUUGGUAAAUCCUUUGAAAUUGUUGAAUUUUAUCUCGUUGCUAAAUGCUACAUGUAACGAGACGAACCCUUAUUCUUUGCUGAUGCACAUCGUGAUGAGGAUUGGGGACAGAAGUGUGAUAGCUAUGGUAGAUACUGGCUCUACUCACACCCUUAUUUCUGCCAGUUUGGUGCAUAAGUAUCGAUUGAGAGUGUCGAAAUGUCCCUCUUACAUAAAGACUGUGAACACCGAAGCACAAGCCAUUGUGGAUAUGGCUUAUGAAGUUCCUAUGUAUGUUGGGAACUGGAAAGAAAGGUCAAUUUGAUGGUGAUUCCAAUGGAAGAGUUUGAGGUGAUCCUCGGAAUUGACUUCAUGCAAAAGCAACACUUUGUACCAAUGAUUCACUUGAACGGAGUGAUGAUCAUGAAUGAUAUGGCUCCUAGUUUGGUGAAAGCUGUUUAUCCUUAUGGAGGAGAAGAAAUUUAAAGUAAGGCCUCGUUAAAUUCCGCCAUGUUGGUUGGAAAAGGGUUGAAGAAGGGAGGUGAGACUUUCCUUGCUGCUGGGGUUGAAGUGAAUCUUGAUGUUAAGGUUAAAGUACCGGACUGCGUUGCUCAAAAUUUGAGUGACUUUGCUGAUGUGAUGCCACCAGAGUUGCCUAAAAAUAUGCCACCACGAAGGAUUAUUGAUCACAAGAUAGAGGUGAUGCCGGAUUCGAUGCUUCCUACUCAAUCGCAUAGGGCGUUGAACAAGGUGACGGUGAAAAAUAACUAUCCUGUUCCGUUGGUGCAAAAGUUGGCUAAAUUGCGGGAGAAAUUGAGCAAGGCAUGCUGGUUCAUGAAACUGGAUAUACGGUCUGGUUAUUGGCAGGUACGGAUAGCUGAAGGUGAUGAGUCAAAAACUACUUGUGUUACGAGGUAUGGCUCAUAUGAAUUCCUUGUUAUGACGGUCGGACGGAUAGAUGCCCCUACUACAUUUUGCAACCUCAUGAAUGACGGGCUGUAUGAGUACAUAGAUGACUUUGUCAUUGUCUUCUUUGAUGACAUUGUUAUCUGUGGUCGGAUUUUGGAUGAACAUAUGUCACACUUGAUAAAAGUACUAUCUUGGGUGAGUGCAAGCUGUAUAAGAAGUGUGGAUUUUCUAGACGGGAGAUCAAAUUUCAUGGGCACUUGGUGAGCCAGAAUCAGGUGCGGAUGGACCCGAAGUAGGUGCAGGUCAUUGCGGAAUGGCAGGUGCCGAAAUAUGGGAAAGAAUUGAGAUAUUUCCUUGGGUUGGCUAAUUAUUAUCAGAAAUUCAUUACUGGUUACUCAAAGUAAGUUGUUCCUUUGACGGAUGUGUUGAAGAAGAACGUUAAAGGGAAUUGGUCGGGAAAACGCUGAGCUGCAUUUGGUGUGUCGAAAGAAGACAUUGCCUCAGAACCAAUCUUGCGCCUUGUUGAGUUUGAGUUACUAUUUGAAGUGCAUACUGAUACAUCCAAAAAGGCUGUUGGAGGCGUGCUGGUUAAAGAAGGUCAUCCUGUGGCUUUUGAAUUAAGAAAGUUGAAUGAAGCAGGACAAGGGUAUUCGGCUCAUGAGGAGGAAGUCUUUGUUGCUGUUUAUUCCACUUCGGUACUUGAGUUAGAUUUUGUUGAUAAAUUCAAGUCAGAUGCUAUGAAUGAUCCAUUGUUCAUAAAUACAAUGAAUCAUGCGUUGGAAGGUACUAUGCGACGGUACUGGAUCGAGGGCAACAUGGUAUUGUUGGAUAGAACCUUUGUUGCGAAAUAUGGUGGUCCGUUCGAAGAUCAAAUCGAGGGCUACUUGAAAAUGAAUCAUGCGAAGGAAAGUACUGUGCGAUGGUACUGGAUAGAGGGCAACAUGGUAUUGCUGGAUAGAACCUAGGUUGCAAAAUAUGGUGGUCCAUUCGAAGAUCAAAUCGAGGGCUACUUGAGAUUAACCUCGACGAGGGCGCCGAGUUCAAUUGGUGGGAGUGGUUUGUUACGACCCCAAAUAUUGACUUGACGGAUGUCCGGUAAAUUCAUGUUGAGGGCUUGUGCAUUGCCCCUUUACACGGCUUCGCUGAAGCACUGACAAGAAAUGUACAAGGCUGGGUGUGUAUCUAAGUUGGUGAUGGGCUUAGGCAAGGCAACAAGGCAGCUGGAGUGUUGGCAAGGCGGCCUUGGUUCGUAGGCAUCAGCUAUGGCAAAUGGAAGCAUGGCACUUGACAAAGUCAUGCGCGGAUUUGUGGGACGACUUACUUUUAUAGCAAGGCGUGGCUAUGAAAUUGAGGGCUAGGCAAGCUCCAAGGCAAAGCUGGGCAAAGGUAUGCGCGGAUCAGUGGGACGACUUGAUUCAUAGCAGGGCGUGGCUAUGAAAUUAAGGGCGAGGCAAGGUCCAAGGCAAAGCGGGGCAAAGGCAUGCGCGGAUCAGUAGGACGACUUAAUUCAUAGCAGGGCGUGGCUAUGGAAUUAAGGGCGAGGCAAGGUCCAAGGCAAAGCGGGGCUGGAGACAAAGAAAACGUGGGCAAGGCUAGAGGCACUCGUGCAUGGCAUGUGACUAAGUGGUGUCAAGGACAUGUGCUGGAAGUUAAUAUAUGAUCUAAGAUCAUGGGCUAUUGGCUACAAGAGUAAGACAUGGUAGCAAUUGCCCGGAACCACCUAAGGCAUGUGCAUGGCACAUGGUAGAAACUGCCCCUUUGUAACUAUCCCUUUGUAACUACCAUUAGCAGCCCCUUUAUAUAGAUUGUAUCUCCGCCUAUGGAGAAGGCAAGUAGCAUUACAUAUGUGAGCCAAGUCUAAAAAGAGUGUCCUUUGUAUAUUCUGCGUAAAUUAAUAAAGGUUGGGUUUUACCCGUAAAUUUUGUGAUUGUUCUUAGUUUGGCUAAAGUCUGAAAAUCCUAAGUCAGAAUGUGUGUGUGCAAAAAGUGAAGCCUGAAGUGGCUUUGAGCUGCUGCCGUGCAGUGUCUAUUUUUGAGAAAAAUUGACCCUGUAACGCCUACCAUGGUGGUGACGGGUGACGGAGAAUUAGGGUUCGAUUCCGGAGAAGGAGCCUUAGAAACGGCUACCACAUCCCAGGAAGGCAUCAGGCGCGCAAAUUACCAAACCUGACAUAGGGAGGUAGUGACAAAAAAUAACAAUACCGGGCUUUAUGAGUUUGAUAAUUUGAAUGAGUACAAUCUAAAUCCCUUAACGAAGAUCAAUUGGAGGGCAAGUCUAGUGUCAGCAGCUGUUGUAAUUCCAGCUCCAAUAGCGUAUAUUUAAGUUGUUGCAGUUAAAAAGCUUGUAGUUGGACUUUGGGAUGGGUCGGCCGGUCUGCCUUUGGUGUGCACCGGUCGUCUCAUCCCUUCUGCCAGCGAUGCGCUCCUGGCCUUAAUUGGCUGGGUCAUGCCUUCGGCGCUGUUACUUUGAAGAAAUUUGAGUGCUCAAAGCAAGCCUACGCUCUGUAUACAUUAGCAUGGGAUAACAUUAUAGGAUUUAGGUCCUAUUACGUUGGCCUUCGGGAUCGGAGUAAUGAUAAACACGGACAGUCGGGGGCAUUCGU